AGGGUUGUUGAUGCCCAGAAUGGGAUGGUUGAUCAGAAGAACACUUUCAGUCUCAUUCAAUCAUAAGGUAUUUUUAUUAAAAAAAAAAAAACAGCCCAAAGGUACAACUAAGAAGAAGGAAAGAAAGAAGAAUCACACAACUUGUAUGCGUAGUGCCAAGGCACUUUGUGGGUUGCAAUCAUACAAUUUCCAUAGUGCAAAACGUCUCAAUUUGUUACCAUUUGGGCAGCCACAACUCACAAAGGAGGUACCCAAAUGGCCCUAUUACUCACUCAAAUCAACUCCUUCAGCAUAGCUCUCAUGUACAGUUUUCCCUAAACAUAUCUACCACAGCAUACGUCAAAAGCUCUAUUUUUCUAGCACUCUUUUGCACCACCUCCAUAUUCUAGUGCACAAGCAAAGGAUCCCACAAGGAGAAUGACAUGAAAAAGGAACAAAGACCCUACCAUAGGAUCAAGAAACAGCCACCCCAUCUCUGUUGCCAUUCAUCAAACAAAAUCUUGUAGGCUUUGGCUUGAAAUUCCUCCUCCUUUGAAGAUCAUGGCUUGAUGGCUUAAUGAUUUGGAGGAGAAAGGCCUUUACUGAAUUAGCCUUGGCCAUCACCUCCAACUGCCACUGUCUGGAUGAAGGACGAACUAGUGCUCCACUCGGGACCCUGUCGAAGUUCCUGUGCAGACUGCACCUGAACGAGCCCGGGUGUGUGGUGGGAGAACAGAGGCAUGGUCUGGUUGCAGGGUGGGGCUUUGAAUUGGGAGGUCCAGAGGCCAUGGGACAGUUUCACCACAAAUCUAUAUGAUAUGAUUCUGAUUUUGGUGUGGCAAACUGAUCAGAGGUUGAAGGUGGGUGUGCUUUUAUAGGUUUCUUGGGCUUGUAGUUAACUUCUUGACCUUUUCUUUUAAUCCCAUUUUCAACUUUAUCAAAUGCUUGCUUCUCUUUGAAUAUUAAGAUAUUUGAUUAUUAGGUUAGCUAGCAUCAUUACCAAUCUAGAAUCUACCUCUCCUGUGCAUACAACUUAGAGGGCAAGAUUGUCUUCAUCAAAGAAAAUGGUUGGCAGUUUUAAAGGAACAAGCUACAUGACAUAAUAUAAAAGCCUUUGGAAAUGAUGCUGCACUACAUCAAAGGAGACCACUUAACCCUCAUGCUUGUGAUAUGGGUGUGUGAUCAGUCGAUUGAAUUGAUUGAAUUGGCUCGGAUAUCAGACUUUUCCAGCUAGACUCUAGGGACAAUUGCGUGGUGCAAGGAUAUGGAAAAGAGGGUUUCCGUUGUAUCCCCUUAAUUGGUAUGUCACAUGGGUGUGUAGAGGCGUGUGAAGAGGGCAUGGCCCACAGGCACUCCGGCUAUAGACAGAUGGUUAAGCAUGAUAAGGACAUGUACCAACUCUCAAGACAUUUUGGGUAGAGGAAUCAUUGGAGUUUUACAGACAACAAGAUCAUGAGUCCAUGACUUCCCUCAAAUGAUUACCUGCGCUUAAGUCCAUGGUUGGGUGCUUCCAAUGUGUCCAUCCUGUGUCUGAUAAACCUAGUCUCUGCUGAUAUUGAUUGCUGGUGAAACUCACGUUAUGGCCUUAGGUGUCCCGUGAUUUGUAAAACCUAUCAUAUUUUAUUAUUUUACAGUCCAAAGUUGUUACAUCUUUGGCACUGCUGAUUGGAGUUUGAGGAUAAGGAGUUCCUAGGUGGAAGGCAGGUACUGAAGAGACCAGAUUUGACACCAUCAGCGGUGGUCAAGGAGCCCAUGAUUAUCACCUUGGAUCAUUCCGAAACUUAAGCAUGCCUACCUGUCCACACAUGAAAGGAUCUAGUCUCUUCAUAUGUUCGGGGAACUAAUUGUUGUUCAAAUAUAUUAUUCAAGAGGAGCUAGUUUUGGAAUUGGUAUUUUUGGUGAAGGCCUAGGUUGAGUCUAGGUUUUCGUAUCUGUAUUUAGAAACACCAAACCAAGGAAAAGAAAAAAUGUGACAACAACAAUAGAUUGAUUCAUUUACAAAGAUAAUAUGUGAGCAAAUAUUAUCAAUGAGUAUUUCUCCAUUGAAAGAUUGCAGGCCACCAAAAUAGACCGAGCAAGAUAGAGUGUUUAUCCUCUAAGGCCAUCAAGGAACAAAGAUCCAAUUAUGUUAUGAAGAUGCUAAAUUUGUUUCCGAAUGGUUUAGAAAGUAUGAUGUGAGCAAGGGGAGGGGAGGAGAAGGAUCAUUCUUUAAUUAUCUUUUUAUUGAAAAAUAUGAUGUGAAAGAUACAGAGAGGACUUAGAUUCUUUCAGAACAGAGGGACCUCAAUAGACAAUGAUUUGUCCUCCUUUUUUUUUUUUUUUAUUUACGGAGUUUUUUUUAUGGGUUUCUUGUGAAAUUUCUUACUUCUAUAAAUCUCUUCGUUUUGAUAAGAUUGGUAGCUUUAUAUUGCCUUAGGAUGAUAAUUUUUCACUGUAGCAAUCUUUUUUAUGCUUUAAACAAAUUUAUUUAAAUUUGAGGUUUUCCCUAACGACUUGAAGUUGUGUUUUAGUCCAAAGGAACUUCCUUUUCGCAAACUCCUAAACUUUUCAUGUUGAAUGGCGUUGAACCCAACAAUGGUCGGAUACAACAUUUUUCGAUGUCCACACACUCCAGCACAGGAUAUAGGUAAGUGGAGGAGAGUUCUUAUGUUGCUUAUUCUUCGGGUAGUUGUGUGCAAUCUUAGAAAGCUACCUUACCUUAAAUAGAACAUGGGACACUUACUAGAGGACACGCAUGCCCUCUAAGAUGAUCUAGCGUGGUUCAUUUUGAUUAUUUGUCGACCGCCUCAUGAAUAAAUCUGCAUAAUAAUCAUAAUGUCAUUUGUAAGGAAAGGGUUGACCAAACAACAACCUAGUAUGUGUAUUUUGAUUUAAUCUCUUUUUAUCCUUUUCGUUGAGUCACUACACUGAAUUAAUAAUCUGACUACCUUUAUUUGUAAAGAGUUCAUCCCUUGCCUAUUACUUGAGUGCUAAUUACUUUAAUUUGUAUGAAUUCACCCCCCAUGAAGAGGAUCUUUUUACCUAGUUACCUAAGGGGCAAAAUGAGAUUGUUAUAAGACAUCAACCUUGGAUUUAAUCUCUUCUCAUCUAUUUCAUUAUGGGAUUUUGUACUAACUUUAAUUGUCACAAGAGCGUAGUCUCACUACCCUUUAUUUGUAAGAGUUUGCCCCGACCAAGAGAAUCAACUCAAGUGGUUACUUAUGAGACAUGGUAGUAAAUCAGAAGACAUCGACUACGACUACCCUUUUUUGGAGGAGUUCCUUCUAAUGAAGUACUAAUGGCUCUGCUCGCCUCACUACCCAAGGACAAGACAAGCUAGUGGUUGAACUCGUCCACUAAUCAACCUGAACCAAGAUCCCCGUAGACCACCAUCCACAACACUCUAUGGGAGAUCAUCUGCCUGACAAGCAUUCCACUUGGUGAGGCACUGGAGAGUCAUCUCGAACAGAGCAUUCCACACAAGACAACUUAAAAUGUGUCCCACUCGACUCAUGUCUACGAGGAUGCAGCGCAAGCAGAGAAUGUCGGCCACCAUCGACCUCAGUGUCAUGCUAUCAAAUCGACAGACGACAUAAGAAGCACGCGCCAAGCCAAGCUCGUACAAUGGGGCAGGUAUAGCUCGUGGGCUAUCGACAUAUAGCGCCUUGUCGGUCACUCACGCCAUGAGCCCACCAUUAGAUACAGUGCUUAGGAGGAGCAGGCACGGACACAUAGAACCUUUCUUUGAAACACCCCUCCUGGUCAAGCAACCAACUGCCUCAACCGUCCGAGGGGACUUUCUGAGAGAUCCUCAGGAACUCCUUUUGCAGGUCGCCUCGGCUGACCCUUUGAUGCUAUUCUGACCAGUGUCUCAUCAAAAAGUUCGUCCCAACACAACCCUCAUCACGGCACAUGAUCAGGAGGGGAGCAUCCUUUAGGACUUUUUUCCUUUUUGGUCAGAACAUUUUUUAUGAAAUAGCCUGUCAACAAUAAUGGUUUCCUCUUUCAAGUACUUUUCAUCUUUAGUAACUUUCAAGCAUUUUGCCAGCCACUAGCCAGUAAUGAUUUCCUUAAGA
rnacentral:lncRNA from 1 species